rnacentral:sRNA from 1 species
ACUUGCCGCGGGCCGCCAAAGGCGUGUCCCGCGACAUCAGACAGCACACCGUGCCACGGGAACAACGCGGCACUUCGGGGCGUU